AGUCCUGCCAACAGCUGUGAGUGAGCAUGGACGCAGAUCCUCUCCCAGUGGAGCAUUUGGAUGACCACGGCUCUGGCUAACACCUCACUUACAGCCUUGGGAGAGAUUCUGAGUCAGAGGCAUCCAGCUAAAUUGACCCACAGACACGUUCAAAUUCUGGAUGAGAAUUCGCUUCUGCAAAUUAGAAGCAAUUCAUCUAAGAUAAUGAACACAGAAGCGAAGCAGAAGCCAUUUUCCUACAUCCUUUCGACUGUUUUAACUGCAAACAAAGAUAAAGAAAUGCAAGGUGUUAGCAGUGCUUUUUGUGGCACUUUCCAAUUUUCUGGGUGUCAAGAGGCAAUUGUGACUACAGCAUUAGCAGUGUAACUCUGGCUUCCUGAUUACUGGAUUGCAG
ensembl:lncRNA PPP1R9A-AS1 PPP1R9A antisense RNA 1